rnacentral:lncRNA from 1 species
GGGCACUGAUGAGCAAAGGCAGAGCCAAAGGCUAAACUAGCAGGAGGAUGCCAAAGUUCCUGACAUUGGACUGAGUAGCGAAGGGAAGGCGUUCAGGAAAACAAGGGGGGAAUAUUACCCCAGCCCCCUCUAAAGGGGGAGUACCGAGAAUGAAAGAAUAGUUAAAACUGAGAAUUACCUGGAGUUGAGAACCUUCUAAAUUCUCUCCAGGAGGAUAUUUUCCCCAGAAGAAACCCAAGAGGAGGAUUCUAUAAACUGGAAGAGCCCUAAGGAAGGAGACCACUGAUUUAUCAUGGGAGCUGGUGUUCUGGUGAAAGGUCUUAUCCAAGAGGAGCAACCAAAUGGACUGGCCUAUGGAAAUGAGCCAAAGGGGCCAACUGCAGAGUUGCUGAGCUGUUAUCUGAGGGGGACUUACACAAGGCUGAGCUCCGCUUACCAGCUGAGGAUACAACACAGAGAGACACCGUCGACUUAUUUGUUCUGAGAAAAUCCAAACUUCAAUCCAUUUUGAAGGACAUCAUUGACCUUGCCUCUUUACAUCUCAUUUACCUUAGGUUUAGUCAGCAGUGGUCGAAGGCCACAGAUUACUACUUCCAGGGUAGGAGUUCCCUAAGCUGGGGGGAGUAGGAUGACUUUUGUCAUUUCCAUCUUGCCCAUGGAAAUUCUAAAAGUUCAGAACUGCAGACGGUUGUUUCUUGUGCUGGAAUCUCAGGGAUGAACGAAUCUCUCCUUUUAAGGAUGCAAAUAAGGGAAUUCUAAGUGAGAGGUCGAUGAGUGAUUCUGACUUCUUCAUGCACUGAUUCCAUUUUACUUUACACCAAUGUCGAACUCCGAAAUUUCCCAUCACCAUGGAGCACUCCCUUAGCUGCUGAAACCCGG